GGCGGCGGCGGCGGCGACCGGGAGCUGGAGCGGGAGGAGCGGGAGGAGGAGGAGGAGGAAGUGGCUGCGGAGCGCUCGGCCAAUGAGUGUCUGGAGCUGUGAUUAACCAGGCAGCAACACAUCAUUUCCUCCCGGCGCGGAUCCAGGGAGCCGGGAGGGAGAGGGCCGGCGGCGGGGCGGGGCGCUCCUCGCGCCCCCUGCAGGCGCCCGGCCCCGGGGAGCCCGCCAGCUUAGCCGCGCCCGCUCGCCGCCCCGACCCCCGACCCCUCGAGCCGCCCGGGCUGAGGGCUGCUACGAGCAGGGCUGGCGGGACGCGGGGGGAGGAGCGCGGCGCGGCGCGGGGAGCGGCCAGGUCCCUUCAUGCAGAGGGCAUUUACUGGGUCGCUGGCUGCAGCACUGCACAAGGUUGCAAAGGAGAUGGAAGAUCUGGCCUCUGCAGGAGUUUGCAGUGGAGCUAGCAACACAGGCAUAUGCACCAGGAGCAGCUAGAAAAUAGCCUCCAGGUGUUGUCUAAGCAAAAAGACAAGAAGCUCGGUGGUUCUUUUGUGUUUGGAUGUUCAUUGGAAGGGCCUUGUAGUUAUAUUUGGUGGAGAUCAGGAGAGGAAACUCCAGGUCAGAUCAAGGCGAGAGUACCAAUCCCUACCCCUGCUCAAUGAAACAAUACAACAGAGCCCUCGGUGACAGCUGAAGUAUCAGCCUUUGCUGCUCACUGUUUUUGACCUUGGACACACGUUUAACCUAAGAGGGGAAAAUGGUGGGCCGUCUUGGGAGGCUGUGGUACAGCUUCCUCUUCAAGCUGUUGUAUGCUUACAGCCCUCCAAACACUUAUAGUCCCCUCCAUGAGGUCAGGCACCAGGUUUGAUUGUGUUUGCCGUAUAUAUCAUCAUACCUGGUGGGGUGAUAUGUGUGGAUGUUUAAUAAAGGCUUGCCAAAAGGUAGAUAGGUGAAUUGAGGAGGCUUGACCUACUUUGGACAGCUACUGUCAUAUGUGUUCUUACUGUGACUAGCUCAGUGCAGAACCUUCUGUCAGCUCUCCUGUGACUCCCUGGUGUUCUAAGAGGCUAUAUGGGAGGACUCCGUGUAGUACCUGUGGCCUUGUACUGUGCUUUGUGUGUGCAUGCAUAUGUGUAAGAUAAGAGGACAGACUGGAAUACAGCUUUUCACACAAGCCCUGUGCACAUAGGGUGCAGCCCUCUGGCUUAGGAACCUUAUUCCAGGAUUUCUCAACUUUGGCACUAUUGGUACUUUGAGCUGGAUAAUUGAUUUGCCAUUCUACAUGUUGAAAUAUAUUUAGCAGUACCCUUGACUGCUACUCACUAGAUUCCAUAGGACAACUCUCCCAUCACAAUAGUGACAACCAGAUGUCUCUGGAUUACAAAAUUGUCCUGUUGAGAAUUACUACCUCCAUCCCAGAAGCCAACCCACUGAUUUAACCCUGGUGGAAAAAAAAAAAUCACACCCUUAAAGUAACUUGGAGGAAAUACAUCUUCUGUCAGUCUAAGCUUCUCCAAUCUCAGUCAUAUGUUUCAGGGAGCCUGACUCCUCUUAAUUAACUGCCUGCUGCAUUGUGAAUUGGCAUCUCCUCUGUUUUCUGCAUAUCCUCCUCCUUUACGCCCAGAUCAACAUGUUCAUUUCUAAAAGUCAACAGAUUUCAAAAACUAUUAGGAAAUAGGGUCUUAAGCAACCAAAGAGUCCUGUAUGCUAUUUUUCUAUAAAAUGUGGGGGAUUUAUUCCAUAAAAUUUUGCAGACAGCUUCACUUUUAUAGUUAAGCUUUUAAUCCUACAAAUAAUAACCACAUCCUUUUUACACCCAGAGUUGUUAGGAAUACAUGCCAGAAAUUGUAAUGUUUUUAAUUUUUUUCAUUUAAAAUAUUUAGAUAUCUGAAUUGAGUCGUUUGUAUCUUGAAGCCAUUUUCUGUUGGUUCCAGAGUUUACAUUUUAUGAUGGGAUAAAAGAACAUGUUUUAUUUAAAUGCAUCAAGCAGACAUCAGUUUUGUUAGGCUUACCAACUUCCCAAAACAAAUUCUCUCAAAUAGUAUUGGCAACAUGCUCCAGGACUGGGAUUGUUGGGAGAGAUCCUGAUAGUGUGCUGCAGCUCAACUUCUAAAAGAUUCUAGAAGAAAAAUCAAGGCUAAUGGUUGAAGCAAUGAGCAGAUUCUGAUAGUCUGUUCAAUCAGUGUUGGGUCUAUGAAGUCCUGAUAGACAACUAAAAAGAAAAGCAAACAAAAACCACUUCCUCCUCUCAGGCAAUGGUAUGAUGUUCGUGACGGGGAUAGACAUUUCUGCUCAACAAAAUGUUAUCAUUAAAGAAAGUGAUUUUAAGUGUUUUAAGUGGGCUUAUAAUUCGCCCAGGUUUCCUUUGGUUCCAUAGGUACAUGAUGGUCUCAAACAUAUGCAGAUUAGCUGACAUCCAGGUUAGUGACUAUUCCCAUUCAAAUUGAGCAAUGGGAUCUGGGUGAGCAUUCACAGGGCCUAGAGAAAGAGGGUUGAGGGUUCCAUGUGGUUUACAGUGAAAUCAGUCUCUAGCUUCUGUUGCCAGACGUGAAUAAAGGCAUUUGCUCUUCUGCCCCAACACCAAGUUCUAAUCCAGGAGAUCUGUGUCUUUGCUGUAAGUACAAUGUUUGAAAAGAAAGUCAUAUUAAAAAUUAAUUAGUAUCGUGCAUAUUCCACAUCACAGCCAUUUUGUUAUGUACCUCUAAUGACCGUGACAUCUUAAUAAAAAUAGUAUAAUUGGCAGUCCAUAGGCAUUUUCUUGCCUUUUAAAGGUGUCUGUACAUCAUUCAAGUGUGAGGAAAAACUGACCCAGUUCAUCAUAACUAUUUUUGGAGAAUGAUGAACUAAAAGGCCUUGAGAUAUGAAAUUUAGUCUUAGUGACCAAAAAAAAAAAAAAA